rnacentral:lncRNA from 1 species
AACUUGGGUCAUAUUUAUGGAGCAUAUUAUGGAACAAUCUGAUUCACCUUGUAAAGAAUCACAUAUCUAUUGUGUACUUUCCAGUAUCAAUUUCUUCCUAACAAACAAGUAGAGAUUUGUAUGAUCAAUUGUAACUUCUUCAUGCCAAUUGAUCAUCUCUUUUGCACCAUUCCUUCGCUUUCUUCCUCUCCACCUUGUUUAUUCAUUGGGUAUCAUAAGUCAAUCUUCUUCCUUGAUCUUCAUAACUAAUAUUUAUUUAGAAUGAG